rnacentral:rRNA from 1 species
AGUGUAUCUGUGAACGGGGUAUGGAAUUGUCCAUACGUGCCAUAGGAUGGGAUUGUGGUCGAUUAGGUAGUUGGUGAGGUAAUGGCUCACCAAGCCGAUAAUCGAUAGGGGCCGUGAGAGCGGGAGCCUCAAGAUGGGUACUGAGACCGCGACCCACGCCCUACGGGGCGCAGCAGGCGCGAAACCUCCACAAUGCACGCAAGUGCGAUGGGGCUACCCAAAGUGCUCCAUACGGAGCUGUGGUGGAUGAGUAAUGUUCUCCACUAGAAAGGAGAGGGCAAGGCUGGUGCCAGCCGCCGCGGUAAAACCAGCUCUUCAAGUGGUCGGGAUAAUUAUUGGGCUUAAAGUGUCCGUAGCUGGUAGGGUAAGUUCCUGGUAAAAUUGGGCAGCUUAACUGUCCUUAUG